GGGUUGUGAGGUUAAGCGACUAAGCGUACACGGUGGAUGCCCUGGCAGUCAGAGGCGAUGAAGGACGUGCUAAUCUGCGAAAAGCGUCGGUAAGGUGAUAUGAACCGUUAUAACCGGCGAUGUCCGAAUGGGGAAACCCAGUGCAAUUCGUUGCACUAUCGUUAACUGAAUACAUAGGUUAACGAGGCGAACCGGGGGAACUGAAACAUCUAAGUACCCCGAGGAAAAAAAAUCAACCGAGAUUCCCCCAGUAGCGGCGAGCGAACGGGGAGCAGCCCAGAGUCUGAAUCAGCUUGUGUGUUAGUGGAACGGUCUGGAAAGUCCGACGGUACAGGGUGAUAGUCCCGUACACCAAAAUGCACAGGCUGUGAACUCGAAGAGUAGGGCGGGACACGUGGUAUCCUGUCUGAAUAUGGGGGGACCAUCCUCCAAGGCUAAAUACUCCUGACUGACCGAUAGUGAACCAGUACCGUGAGGGAAAGGCGAAAAGAACCCCGGCGAGGGGAGUGAAAAAGAACCUGAAACCGUGUACGUACAAGCAGUGGGAGCACCUUCGGGUGUGACUGCGUACCUUUUGUAUAAUGGGUCAGCGACUUAUAUUCUGUAGCAAGGUUAACCGUAUAGGGGAGCCGCAGGGAAACCGAGUCUUAACUGGGCGUUAAGUUGCAGGGUAUAGACCCGAAACCCGGUGAUCUAGCCAUGGGCAGGUUGAAGGUUGGGUAACACUAACUGGAGGACCGAACCGACUAAUGUUGAAAAAUUAGCGGAUGACUUGUGGCUGGGGGUGAAAGGCCAAUCAAACCGGGAGAUAGCUGGUUCUCCCCGAAAGCUAUUUAGGUAGCGCCUCGUGAAUUCAUCUUCGGGGGUAGAGCACUGUUUCGGCUAGGGGGUCAUCCCGACUUACCAACCCGAUGCAAACUACGAAUACCGAAGAAUGUUAUCACGGGAGACACACGGCGGGUGCUAACGUCCGUCGUGAAGAGGGAAACAACCCAGACCGCCAGCUAAGGUCCCAAAGUCAUGGUUAAGUGGGAAACGAUGUGGGAAGGCACAGACAGCCAGGAUGUUGGCUUAGAAGCAGCCAUCAUUUAAAGAAAGCGUAAUAGCUCACUGGUCGAGUCGGCCUGCGCGGAAGAUGUAACGGGGCUAAACCAUGCACCGAAGCUGCGGCAGCGACACUAUGUGUUGUUGGGUAGGGGAGCGUUCUGUAAGCCUGCGAAGGUGUGCUGUGAGGCAUGCUGGAGGUAUCAGAAGUGCGAAUGCUGACAUAAGUAACGAUAAAGCGGGUGAAAAGCCCGCUCGCCGGAAGACCAAGGGUUCCUGUCCAACGUUAAUCGGGGCAGGGUGAGUCGACCCCUAAGGCGAGGCCGAAAGGCGUAGUCGAUGGGAAACAGGUUAAUAUUCCUGUACUUGGUGUUACUGCGAAGGGGGGACGGAGAAGGCUAUGUUAGCCGGGCGACGGUUGUCCCGGUUUAAGCAUGUAGGCUGGUUAUCCAGGCAAAUCCGGAUAAUCAAGGCUGAGGUGUGAUGACGAGGCACUACGGUGCUGAAGUAACAAAUGCCCUGCUUCCAGGAAAAGCCUCUAAGCAUCAGGUAACAUCAAAUCGUACCCCAAACCGACACAGGUGGUCAGGUAGAGAAUACCAAGGCGCUUGAGAGAACUCGGGUGAAGGAACUAGGCAAAAUGGUGCCGUAACUUCGGGAGAAGGCACGCUGGUGUGUAGGUGAAGUCCCUGCGGAUGGAGCUGAGACCAGUCGAAGAUACCAGCUGGCUGCAACUGUUUAUUAAAAACACAGCACUGUGCAAACACGAAAGUGGACGUAUACGGUGUGACGCCUGCCCGGUGCCGGAAGGUUAAUUGAUGGGGUUAUCCGUAAGGAGAAGCUCUUGAUCGAAGCCCCGGUAAACGGCGGCCGUAACUAUAACGGUCCUAAGGUAGCGAAAUUCCUUGUCGGGUAAGUUCCGACCUGCACGAAUGGCGUAAUGAUGGCCAGGCUGUCUCCACCCGAGACUCAGUGAAAUUGAACUCGCUGUGAAGAUGCAGUGUACCCGCGGCAAGACGGAAAGACCCCGUGAACCUUUACUAUAGCUUGACACUGAACAUUGAGCCUUGAUGUGUAGGAUAGGUGGGAGGCUUUGAAGCGUGGACGCCAGUCUGCGUGGAGCCAACCUUGAAAUACCACCCUUUAAUGUUUGAUGUUCUAACGUUGGCCCCUUACCGGGGUUGCGGACAGUGUCUGGUGGGUAGUUUGACUGGGGCGGUCUCCUCCCAAAGCGUAACGGAGGAGCACGAAGGUUAGCUAAUCCUGGUCGGACAUCAGGAGGUUAGUGCAAUGGCAUAAGCUAGCUUGACUGCGAGCGUGACGGCGCGAGCAGGUGCGAAAGCAGGUCAUAGUGAUCCGGUGGUUCUGAAUGGAAGGGCCAUCGCUCAACGGAUAAAAGGUACUCCGGGGAUAACAGGCUGAUACCGCCCAAGAGUUCAUAUCGACGGCGGUGUUUGGCACCUCGAUGUCGGCUCAUCACAUCCUGGGGCUGAAGUAGGUCCCAAGGGUAUGGCUGUUCGCCAUUUAAAGUGGUACGCGAGCUGGGUUUAGAACGUCGUGAGACAGUUCGGUCCCUAUCUGCCGUGGGCGCUGGAGAAUUGAGGGGGGCUGCUCCUAGUACGAGAGGACCGGAGUGGACGCAUCACUGGUGUUCGGGUUGUCAUGCCAAUGGCACUGCCCGGUAGCUAAAUGCGGAAGAGAUAAGUGCUGAAAGCAUCUAAGCACGAAACUUGCCCCGAGAUGAGUUCUCCCUGAGACUUUAAGUCUCCUGAAGGAACGUUGAAGACGACGACGUUGAUAGGCCGGGUGUGUAAGCGCAGCGAUGCGUUGAGCUAACCGGUACUAAUGAACCGUGAGGCUUAACCUUACAACGCCGAAG
rnacentral:rRNA from 1 species